UACGUAGGUGGCAAGCGUUGUCCGGAAUUAUUGGGCGUAAAGCGCGCGCAGGCGGUCCUUUAAGUCUGAUGUGAAAGCCCACGGCUCAACCGUGGAGGGUCAUUGGAAACUGGGGGACUUGAGUACAGAAGAGAAGAGUGGAAUUCCACGUGUAGCGGUGAAAUGCGUAGAGAUGUGGAGGAACACCAGUGGCGAAGGCGGCUCACUGGACCGGUACUGACGCUGAGGCGCGAAAGCGUGGGGAGCAAACAGG
rnacentral:rRNA from 1 species